UACGAGGGGUGCAAGCGUUAUUCGGAUUUACUGGGCGUAAAGGGUGUGUAGACGGUUUACUAAGUCUGUUGUUAAAUACUCUGGCUUAACUGGAGAUCAGCAGUGGAAACUAGUAGACUAGAGGGUGGAAGAGAGAAGGUGGAAUUCCCGGAGUAGCGGUAAAAUGCGUAGAUCUCGGGAGGAACACCGAUGGCGAAGGCAGCUUCUUGGUCCAUACCUGACGUGAGACACGAAAGCGUGGGGAGCAAACAGGG
rnacentral:rRNA from 1 species